CAGGCGUCUGGUUAAUGGCGAAAUGUGAACCGUUUGGCGUUCCAUACUAGGCGUCGACCGUGUCGACCGACGCCGAGGCGUCGACGGGCGUCGUCGACCGUCGACGUAGAUGAAGAGGCGGUUGCAAUGCAUUGAUUUAAGGAAGAAAAAAUGGUGAACAUUGGGCCUCUGUUUAAUUUGUCCUUGCUCUGGUGUUUUACUCGACUAUGGUGCUUCUGGUUUUGGUGCAGACAGAGAACCAGUGUUUGUGAUGGAGGGGGAUUCAGUCACACUACACACUGGUGUUUAAAACAAACCAACAAGAAGAGAUUAUAUGGUAUUUUAAUGCCAUUCUCAUCGCAUUAAUCACUGGAGAUCAGAGUAAGAUCUGUACAGAUGUUCAGUGUAAAGAAAGAUUCAGAGACCGACUGAAGCUGGAUCAUCAGACUGGAUCUCUGAACAUCACAAACACCAGAACCACAGACAAUGGAGAGUAUAAAUUGAAGAUUAUCAAAAGUAACAGUGACAGUGAAAAUAUAUUCAGUGUUUCUGUUCAUGAUGUUCUUGCUCUUGAACGAGAUAAAAUGAACAGAAAGGAGGGAGAUUCUGUCACUUUACAUC